CCUACGGGAGGCAGCAGUGGGGAAUUUUGGAUAAUGGGCGCAAGCCUGAUCCAGCCAUUCCGCGUGAGUGAAGAAGGCCUUCGGGUUGUAAAGCUCUUUCGCAAGGGAAGAAACGUUACCGGUGAAUAUCCGGUGAUAAUGACGGUACCUUGAUAGGAAGCACCGGCUAACUACGUGCCAGCAGCCGCGGUAAU
rnacentral:rRNA from 1 species